GUCCAAGGAAGGAAACCCACUAAAAAAAUGGAGUUAAGUACUUUCCUUCAAAAGAAGCAGCGUAUCAAUAAGCUACCUUCGAGCUUCGAGAUUGUCGGCAAAAUUAUAGAUAGUUGGGUAUAAACAGAGCUGUUCCUAUCAAAUCGGAGAGGGGUUAUCCAAGCAGUAGAGGAGAUCAACGAGAUGCUGAAAUUUCGGAUCCCGAUCUUAGCAAUUAGGUUCCUUGUUGUUCACGCACUUGGAGUAUCUCUAUUAUCUCUAUUAUAUAAAGGAACAGCUGAGGGCAUAAUAGUAACAUUACUUUUCGUGUCCCCCUGCAAAAAGACGAAAAAACCCUUCACACUAAUCAACCCUAACCCUUACUGCUCAACUGUUUUCUCUCUCCUCCUCCCAUUUUCUUUCUCGACCCUCUUCGAUCUAUUCCUCUACAAAUACCUUCAUCCUCUCCACGAUCUUCUUCAUCCUCUCCUUCGAUCUUCUUCCUCUCCUUCAAUUCGAGCCAACGACGAAAGCCACCCCUGGGAUUUGGAUUCCUUCGGAUUUUCAUCAAUUUUGUGGUUUCUUCGGAUUUGAUUCUGUUUUUGCGACCCCGAUUUUACAAGUUAAGGAUUUGAAUUUCUAUUUAGUUUUCGUUUUUGCAAUUUUCGUUACGAGGUUUUGCUUUUGAUUAGGUUUUAGAAAACUGAUUUGGAAGGAAAUAGGUUUUAGACCGGCGGAUGGAGGGCGGGGAUGGCGAUUUUCCGACAACAACAACAACAAUAACAGCAGCAAUAAUCGCGGAACAAAGCCGAGACAAGGGUGAAAUAUCAGGUUAAGGAUUUGCAAGUUUCUGGGUUGGUUUUUGCUAUAUUGCAAGAAUCGGCUACUAAGUUUUAGGUGGGCAGCUAGAGUUGGAUUCUGAUGGCUAUGUGGUGACUACACCGGGGACGACGAAGACCAAUGUUAAAGGAACAUCGCUGCUGGUGAUGUUCAGGAUAAGAAGUAUAGGCAGCCCGUCACUGUUGUUGGGAUUGAUUGUUCAGGAGAUCAAGGCAACCAAGAUGGAGAAGAUGAGGAUAAGCGUGAGACUAUGUGGUUCUACCUGGUCGUGAUGUCAGGAUUUGGUCGUGAUGUCAGGAUUUGCUACUGGGUUUUGGUGUGUUGUAGGAACUUUGUUGCUGAAAGAGAGUUGGAGACAUGCUCUCUUUAUUGUAUGAUAUUUAUCCAAGUAUUUGUACCUUUGUAUUUUAUUUUUUCUGUAUUAAUGAAGUAUAAUUUACAAGGGAGUCAGGGAUGCAACUUCUGUUUGUAGUUCCUCUGUUAGGGUUUUCGGAGGCUUUGAUUCCAAUAGAAAUGCAUAAUUAAGUCAAUACGUAUUCAUGGGAGGAGUAAACCUUUAUGGUAAAUGUAAACAUCAUUUUGCAAAUACUCACGCACGCAUCGCGUGCAUAUAAGACUAGUAUAAAUAUACUUCCCCUGCUCAGUUUAGGAGGAGGAUAUACACAAAAACCUAGCCGAAAAUCACACAAAGAGCAAGGGAAUUUGAGUGACUCGUAAUUGGGCAAUUAGUGAAGAGAAGAUAGCCAUUGGAGGGAAGCUUAGUCUCAAUUCCAAGGUUGAACAAGGUCGACGGUGAAUCGCAGGGUCGAAGCCGAGGUUCUUUCGGAUGUUCUUGGGAGUAUACUUAAUAAGUCUUCUUCUUACCCAAUUGUUCAUAUUACUACUUAUUUGAAGUACUUUGUUAAUUUGAUGAGAUACUUUGAUUGAAAUAUUGGUAUUAUUAUUGAUUUA